rnacentral:lncRNA from 1 species
GGACUACAGGCAUGAGCCACUGAGCCUGGCCGUUUGAAAUUCUUAAUGAUUUUUGAAAAAGAGGCGCUACAUUUUCAGUUUGCACUGGACUCUGCAGAUCACGGGGCUGGUCCUACCUCCAACAACGUCAGAGCUACUGCUUUCCCCCAGACCUCACCAGAAUGGAAUAUAAUCAUCUCAACCUUUUUGUUAUGGCUGUUAAUUUAAUAGGUGGAAAUGUGCGCCUCAGUUGUUUUAAUUUGCAUUUCUUUGAUUACUGGCCAGGUUGACUGUGUUUCCUCACAGUCUGUUUACUAACCAUGCUUCCUUUUAUGUGAGCCGCCUGUGUCCUUUGCCCAUUUAUGUUUUCAAAUGCCAAAAUAAGUUUCCUCUCUGUGGGAAUGAAUCAUCAAUUUUUUAAAUGUAUGGAGAGAAUGUUUUCUGCAGAAACAGCCUGGGGUUUCAGGAAGGCAGGCCCAGUUCAGGGGUGCCUUGGGAGCAAAGGUCCUGUCAUUCCAACACUAAGAAUUAGACCUUUACGAGAAGCACAGUUUUGUCUUCAGUUUCCUCUCCCCCCACCCGGAAUGGCCUGAGCCGAAGCCAGCUCCCUCCGAGAAGUCAUUACCGCCUGACUUGCGUUUGAUAUUUAGACACCUUGGUCACAACAUCUUGCAUUCUCUCGGGAUGCUGAUUUCUAACUGCUCUUUGGCCUUUCCUGCAUUGGUCCUCCUCAGGCAGGGGAUCCCUGCUCUUCUAUAUUAAUGCUGGCUCCCCGUCCCCUGUCCACCAUGAGUCAAAGCAAUGUGAGUCCCUCACCAGAUGCAACUGCCCAGUCUUGGACUUUCCAGUGACCAGAAUCAUGAGCCAAAUAAACCUCUUUUCUUUAUGAAUUACCCAGCCUCAAGUAUUCUGUUAUAGCA